CCUACGGGAGGCAGCAGUGGGGAAUUUUGGGCAAUGGGCGCAAGCCUGACCCAGCGACGCCGCGUGGAGGAUGAAGGCCUUCGGGUUGUAAACUCCUGUCAGGUGGGAAGAAAUGUCCAUCGGUUAAUACCCGAUGGAAGUUGACGGUACCACCAAAGGAAGCCCCGGCUAACUCCGUGCCAGCAGCCGCGGUAAUACGGAGGGGGCAAGCGUUAUUCGGAUUUACUGGGCGUAAAGCGCACGUAGGCGGCAUAGCAAGUCGCAGGUGAAAGCCCUCGGCUCAACCGAGGAACUGCCUGCGAAACUGCGUUGCUUGAGUCCGGGAGGGGGGAGCGGAAUUCCCAGUGUAGCGGUGAAAUGCGUAGAUACUGGGAGGAACACCGGUGGCGAAGGCGGCUCCCUGGACCGGUACUGACGCUGAGGCGCGAAAGCGUGGGUAGCAAACAGGAUUAGAUACCCUGGUAGUCCACGCCGUAAACGAUGGGCACUAGGUGCAGCGGGUGUCGACCCCUGCUGUGCCGAAGUUAACGCAUUAAGUGCCCCGCCUGGGGAGUACGG
rnacentral:rRNA from 1 species